rnacentral:rRNA from 1 species
UACGUAGGGGGCAAGCGUUGUCCGGAAUCACUGGGCGUAAAGGGCGCGUAGGUGGUCUGAUAAGGGUGUGGUGAAAGCCCGGGGCUCAACCCCGGGUCGGCCGUGCCGACUGUUAGACUAGAGUACUGUAGGGGCAGGCGGAAUUCCUGGUGUAGCGGUGGAAUGCGCAGAUAUCAGGAGGAACACCAAUAGCGAAGGCAGCUCGCUGGGACGGUAUUGACGCUAAGGCGCGAAAGCGUGGGGAGCAAACAGG